rnacentral:rRNA from 1 species
GCUGGCGGCAUGCUUAACACAUGCAAGUCGAACGGAAACGAUGGAGCUUGCUCCAGGCGUCGAGUGGCGGACGGGUGAGUAAUGCAUGGGAAUCUGCCUUUUGCUGGGGGAUAACGUAGGGAAACUUACGCUAAUACCGCAUAAGACCUAAGGGUGAAAGCGGGGGACCGAAAGGCCUCGCGGCAAGAGAUGAGCCCAUGUUGGAUUAGCUAGUUGGUGGGGUAAAGGCCUACCAAGGCGACGAUCCAUAGCUGGUCUGAGAGGAUGAUCAGCCACACUGGGACUGAGACACGGCCCAGACUCCUACGGGAGGCAGCAGUGGGGAAUAUUGGACAAUGGGGGGAACCCUGAUCCAGCAAUGCCGCGUGUGUGAAGAAGGCCUUCGGGUUGUAAAGCACUUUCAGUAGGGAGGAAAGGUGCGUAGUUAAUACCUGCGCAAUUGACGUUACCUACAGAAGAAGCACCGGCUAACUCCGUGCCAGCAGCCGCGGUAAUACGGAGGGUGCGAGCGUUAUUCGGAAUUACUGGGCGUAAAGCGCACGCAGGCGGUUGCCCAAGUCAGAUGUGAAAGCCCCGGGCUUAACCUGGGAACUGCAUUUGAAACUGGGCGACUAGAGUAUGAAAGAGGAAAGC